UACAGAGGGUGCAAGCGUUAAUCGGAGUUACUGGGCGUAAAGGGCGCGUAGGUGGUUGUUUAAGUGGGAUGUGAAAGCCCUAGGCUUAACGUAGGAACUGCAUCUUAUACUGGGCAACUGGAGUACUGUAGAGGGUAGUGGAAUUUCCGGUGUAGCGGUGAAAUGCGUAGAGAUCGGAAGGAACACCAGUGGCGAAGGCGGCUACCUGGACAGAUACUGACACUGAGACGCGAAAGCGUGGGGAGCGAACAGG
rnacentral:rRNA from 1 species